GGUAAUUGAAUGGCUGGACUCAUUAGACGUCGAAAUCGAAUACCAAUCAGUACCAAGGAAAAACGUAAUGCAUCCGCUAUCUUUUGUAUUUAUUCAUUUAUUUACAUACUUAUUUAUUUAUUUAUAUUCAAUAAAUUCUAAAUUUUUUCUAUAUAGUUAGUUAUUGGCUUAUUCUAAUUCACCUGUUAGUUAUUAAUAGUAUAGUUUAAGGUGUUAUACCCGCAUCUAUUGUUUCAGUCCAACUGUCGGGUAAUAUGCAAAAACAAUGCUUACGCAGGAUAAUAGAUUAAUUAACUACUAUCUAAAUUUUAAUUUUAGAGUAAAAGUAUCUAUUUAUAGAGAACAUCUAGAGGGAAUAUCUUAGGAUUUUUUGUAUUAUUCAAAACAUACAGCUCGAUAUAAAAGACAC